AGAGUGCUGAGAGAUUUAUUCAUAUUCAUAGAACUUUGGGAAAGUAUGAACAUCGAAUGUUGAAAAUGAACUAAAAGAUACUGAUUAUAAAGAUUUUAUGCAAUGUACGUGGUGUUGUUAUUGGCUGUAAUUGAUAAAAAAUUAAUAGCAUUCUAUCUAAAAGUUAUUCAAAUGAAUCAUUGACCAUAAAAUUAGAUGGCAAUACAGCAGAUGAGCAAAGAGUGCUGAGAGAUUUAUUCAUAUUCAUAGAACUUUGGGAAAGUAUGAACAUCGAAUGUUGAAAAUGAACUAAAAGAUACUGAUUAUAAAGAUUUUAUGCAAUGUACGUGGUGUUGUUAUUGGCUGUAAUUGAUAAAAAAUUAAUAGCAUUCUAUCUAAAAGUUAUUCAAAUGAAUCAUUGACCAUAAAAUUAGAUGGCUGUACACCAGAUAUACUCAGGACAUAUUGAAACAUGAAUUACCAUUUCUACCACAUGGGAAAGUUUCAACAUCCUACGUUGAAAAUGGACUGGACGAUCCUGAUAAUAAUAAUAGUUUUAUGCAUAGUACGAGUAAUGGAUAUUGAAUAUAAUUGAUAGUCAAUUAAUAUUAGUGUAACAAAAAGUCAGUGUCAUGAAAUCCAGACCAUUAGAUUAAAUGGCUGUACACCAGAUAUACUCAGGACAUAUUGAAACAUGAAUUACCAUUUCUACCACAUGGGAAAGUUUCAACAUCCUACGUUGAAAAUGGACUGGACGAUCCUGAUAAUAAUAAUAGUUUUAUGCAUAGUACGAGUAAUGGACAUUGAAUAUAAUUGAUAGUCAAUUAAUAUUAGUGUAACAAAAAAUGGCAAUACAGCAGAUGAGCAAAGAAUGCUGAGAGAUUUAUUCAUAUUCAUAAAACUUUGGGAAAGUAUGAACAUCCAAUGUUGAAAAGAACUAAAAGAUACUGAUUAUAAAGAUUUUAUGCAAUGUACGUGGUGUUGUUAUUGGCUGUAAUUGAUAAAAAAUUAAUAGCAUUCUAUCUUAAAGUUAUUCAAAUGAAUCCUUGACCAUAAAAUUAGAUGGCUGUACACCAGAUAUACUCAGGACAUAUUGAAACAUGAAUUACCAUUUCUACCACAUGGGAAAGUUUCAACAUCCUACGUUGAAAAUGGACUGGACGAUCCUGAUAAUAAUAAUAGUUUUAUGCAUAAUGGCUGUACACCAGAUAUACUCAGGACAUAUUGAAACAUGAAUUACCAUUUCUACCACAUGGGAAAGUUUCAACAUCCUACGUUGAAAAUGGACUGGACGAUCCUGAUAAUAAUAAUAGUUUUAUGCAUAAUGGCAGUACUGCAGAUCACUGGAGGCAUGCUGAGACAUGAAUUAACAUUUCUAUCACUUGGGAAAGUUACAACAUUUUCCGUUGAAAAUGGAAUAGAAGAUGGCAGUAUAUCAGAUCAAUCAAGGCAUGCUGAGACACGAAUUCACAUUUCUACCACUAAGGAGAGUUUCAACAUCCUAGGUUGAAAAUGGACUAGAAGAUACUGAUAAUAAUAUUGGAUUUAUGCAAUGGUUAUUGAAUAUAAUUGACACUAAAUUAAUAGCUGUGAAACAAUUGAGAUUUGUUAAAUAUCUGAAUAAAAUAAUAAUGGCAGUACAGCAGAUCAUUCAAUACAUGCCGAGACAUGAAUUCACAUUUCUACCACUAUGCUAAAUAUCAAUAUCCUACGUUGAAAAUGUACUAGACGAUACUGCUAAUAACAAGGGUUUUGUGCAACAUGGCAGUACAGCAGAUCACUCAAUACAUGCUGAGACAUGAAUUCACAUUUCUACCACUAUGCAAAACAUCAACAUCCUACGUUGAAAAUGGACUAGACAGUACUGCUAAUAAUAAUGGUUUUGUGCAACGUGCGCGUAAUGGAUGGCAGUACUGCAGAUCACUGGAGGCAUGCUGAGACAUGAAUUAACAUUUCUAUCACUUGGGAAAGUUACAACAUUUUCCGUUGAAAAUGGAAUAGAAGAUGGCAGUAUAUCAGAUCAAUCAAGGCAUGCUGAGACACGAAUUCACAUUUCUACCACUAAGGAGAGUAUCAACAUCCUAGGUUGAAAAUGGACUAGAAGAUACUGAUAAUAAUAUUGGAUUUAUGCAAUGGUUAUUGAAUAUAAUUGACACUAAAUUAAUAGCUGUGAAACAAUUGAGAUUUGUUAAAUAUCUGAAUAAAAUAAUAGUAAACAACUUUAGCUUGUAUUGUUUAUUCUUAAAUUUUACCUAUGCUAUAAAUAUAUUUUGUUUUUACUAUAAUAUUUAAAUGAUCAUUAUAAAACAUUUAUAAAACACUCAAAUAUUAAGUUCAUGUUUAGAAGGUUGAACAAUAGUUUAAGAAAUUUACCAUUAUUGUCUUUCACGUGUUUCAUUUAACCUGGUAUUUUGAAUACACUAUAAUACAUGUUUUUAUAUGAUAAUUUUGACAAAUUCCAAUUUUAAACUGCUUAUAAAACACUCAAAAUUAUUAAAUGUAUGCACCGACAGAGGGCGGUAGUGGGGACGACAUCCGUCGGCCGAUGCCCGAUCGCCUCAGAGUAAAACUAGUUGGUUGUGUGCCGUUCGCCGGACGGCCUUUUGACAUAAUUGACGGUUGUUUUUACUUAGCUAUUGGGUGUAGUUGUUGUUCAUUUAAUAAAGAUUUUUGAUAUUAUAAACGAAUUGUUCAUAUUUUAUGCCCGAAGUUAACACAAAUGGCAGUACAGCAGAUCAUUCAAUACAUGCCGAGACAUGAAUUCACAUUUCUACCACUAUGCUAAAUAUCAAUAUCCUACGUUGAAAAUGUACUAGACGAUACUGCUAAUAACAAGGGUUUUGUGCAACGUGCGUGUAAUGGAUGGCAGUACAGCAGAUCACUCAAUACAUGCUGAGACAUGAAUUCACAUUUCUACCACUAUGCAAAACAUCAACAUCCUACGUUGAAAAUGGACUAGACAGUACUGCUAAUAAUAAUGGUUUUGUGCAACGUGCGCGUAAUGGAUGGCAGUACUGCAGAUCACUGGAGGCAUGCUGAGACAUGAAUUAACAUUUCUAUCACUUGGGAAAGUUACAACAUUUUCCGUUGAAAAUGGAAUAGAAGAUGGCAGUAUAUCAGAUCAAUCAAGGCAUGCUGAGACACGAAUUCACAUUUCUACCACUAAGGAGAGUAUCAACAUCCUAGGUUGAAAAUGGACUAGAAGAUACUGAUAAUAAUAUUGGAUUUAUGCAAUGGUUAUUGAAUAUAAUUGACACUAAAUUAAUAGCUGUGAAACAAUUGAGAUUUGUUAAAUAUCUGAAUAAAAUAAUAGUAAACAAC